CGUGAAAUGAACUAAAACACCCCUGCUUUGGGAGCAGGGGGUCGCAGGUUCGAAUCCUGCC
rnacentral:tRNA from 1 species